rnacentral:misc_RNA from 1 species
GGGGAAAAACACCUCGAUUUUAUAAAUGCAUUAAAGAGGAUUAAAAGAAGAAAAGGAAAAGUGAAGACAUCAAAUGAAUUUUGUCCUAGAAACAUCAGUAGAUUAGUUACACAAUUUUGUGUUUGCUUCAAUUGCUCUAUAGCUUGAUUUGAUUUAGUGCUCUUUCGCCAAUUGAGAAGUACAUGUGAUGGUUUGGAGCUUAUAUUUUGAAUGAAUAUCACAAUGUGAUGAUGGUGUGAUUUAUGCCUUGGUUUAUGCUUUGAGCACCAAGCAUGAUGACCAAAGCCUUAGGAAAUGAAAAUUCCUGGCACCUUUCACGUUUAAAAACAAUGGUUCUCCCAUUUUUCCACAGUACAUUGGACAAGAAAAACAAAGAGAUGAUAGAUGAGAUUCAGC